UGCAAGUCGAACGAUGAUCCCAGCUUGCUGGGGGAUUAGUGGCGAACGGGUGAGUAACACGUGAGUAACCUGCCCUUGACUCUGGGAUAAGCCUGGGAAACUGGGUCUAAUACCGGAUACGACCAUCUGGCGCAUGUCAUGGUGGUGGAAAGCUUUUGUGGUUUUGGAUGGACUCGCGGCCUAUCAGCUUGUUGGUGGGGUAAUGGCCUACCAAGGCGACGACGGGUAGCCGGCCUGAGAGGGUGACCGGCCACACUGGGACUGAGACACGGCCCAGACUCCUACGGGAGGCAGCAGUGGGGAAUAUUGCACAAUGGGCGGAAGCCUGAUGCAGCGACGCCGCGUGAGGGAUGACGGCCUUCGGGUUGUAAACCUCUUUCAGUAGGGAAGAAGCGAAAGUGACGGUACCUGCAGAAGAAGCGCCGGCUAACUACGUGCCAGCAGCCGCGGUAAUACGUAGGGCGCAAGCGUUAUCCGGAAUUAUUGGGCGUAAAGAGCUCGUAGGCGGUUUGUCGCGUCUGCUGUGAAAGACCGGGGCUCAACUCCGGUUCUGCAGUGGGUACGGGCAGACUAGAGUGCAGUAGGGGAGACUGGAAUUCCUGGUGUAGCGGUGAAAUGCGCAGAUAUCAGGAGGAACACCGAUGGCGAAGGCAGGUCUCUGGGCUGUAACUGACGCUGAGGAGCGAAAGCAUGGGGAGCGAACAGGAUUAGAUACCCUGGUAGUCCAUGCCGUAAACGUUGGGCACUAGGUGUGGGGGACAUUCCACGUUUUCCGCGCCGUAGCUAACGCAUUAAGUGCCCCGCCUGGGGAGUACGGCCGCAAGGCUAAAACUCAAAGGAAUUGACGGGGGCCCGCACAAGCGGCGGAGCAUGCGGAUUAAUUCGAUGCAACGCGAAGAACCUUACCAAGGCUUGACAUGAACCGGAAAGAC
rnacentral:rRNA from 2 species